rfam:Cephalotus follicularis DNA, scaffold: scaffold337, isolate: St1.
AUACUUACCUGGACGGGGUCAAUGGGUGAUCAAUAAUGCUUAUGACCUAGGUUGGUGGUCUCCAUUGCACUUAGGAGAUGCAUCAAUCUAAGGUCUGUCCAAGUGAAAGAGCCUACGUCAUAAUGGUAGUGGGGGCUUGCGUUCGCGUGGCCCCUGU